rnacentral:lncRNA from 1 species
CUUUGCUCAUUAGAAGCAGGGAGCUCUCUUCUUCUUCCCCUGGAUCCUUCCUUUAAAAUAGUUUCUUUUGUCUUAAGUUUUCAUUUCUACGUUUGUCCCUUCAUUCAGUCUCUUAAAUGACGGUCUCAAGCAGUAACAGUAGUAAUUGCUGUAAUGACGGUCUCAAGUAGUAACCAGGGCACUCUGCCACAAGUGGCACCUGAACAGGGACUAACAGGGACUAUCAAGAACAAACGGAGACCUGAAGAGACCUGAAGGGAACUGAAGAGGUCUGCAGGGACAAAUAGAGAUAAGUAGGGAUAAAUAGAGAUAAAUAGAGACAAAUAGAGAUAGGUAAGGAAUGACAGGGACUUGCAGGAAGUAACAGGGACCAUAGGGACAGAUAGGGAUAGAUAAAGACUAGCAAAGACUAGCCGAGAUUAGCAAAGACCAGCAAGGACUAGCAGAGACUAGCAAAGACUAGCAGAAACUUGCAGGGACAGGCAGAGACAGAUAGGGACAGAUAGGGUCCUACAGGGACUUGAACGAGGAAGAUCUGCUGGAAAAGAAAAGAACUACAACCAACCAGAUGAACAAGAAACCCUGUUACAAGUCUGCUGGCAGCAACAUAAGGGUAUGCUUGUUUUUGCAGGAAAUGAACAAAAAGUGUGGGUGCCCCCAAGGUGUGUACUACCAUGGAAUGGGAGAUUGGAGGGACACAUGGAUCCCAACCGUGGGCCUGGUUCCCCCAGUAUGAGCUGAAUACGAAGACAGAACAAACCACCAACCGGCAAUUGAAGGAUGAUGCCCAUUCUAUUUCCUAGGAAGGGAUAAGUUUUAAGGCCUUAUAAAAAGUGACACAAAGUGAACCGGGUUCUAUAAAUUACCAUGGAAAGUGGUGAGCCAACGAUUUGGCAGAACAAAACCCUGAGGAUAUGCAAACAAAAGGGACUAUGGAAUUUGCAAUUGCAGAUUAAAAUUGAAGAAGAAAACAUUUGAGUUGCAAAUACCGUAUUAAAAGUGGACACUGCUUAUGACUGCUGUAUGCAACAGUUUUUCAGGCCCGAGAGGAACCCAGACAUGCUCUAUUUGCAAACCGACUGCAUGAAACAAAAAGCACGGUAAUUCUGAAGCUGUUGGCUUGGAUGAAAUGAGAAUGUAAUUAAAAAGAAAAAGGUUAG